rfam:Chloroflexi bacterium RIFOXYD12_FTLL_57_15 rifoxyd3_full_scaffold_4115_curated, whole genome shotgun sequence.
AGCACCCUGCUGUGUUCGUGAUGUGACUAUCACGUUUUGGGCCAACAUCCAAACAACGGGUUCUUAUCUUCGUGGAAAUAACGCGAUAGGCCUGAGCCAAGGCGGCGUUUCCCGAUUGGAGCCCACCUGCGAAAGCAGGUCCAAAACCCGGUCGCACACGGCAUUGGCGGGGUAUCU